rnacentral:lncRNA from 1 species
UUUUAAUACCUUUGUGCUUAGAGCUUGUUGAGGGAUGCCCAACACCAAACUUAUGAUUGAUGUCUGGGGGCUCUGUAAAGUUCUACAUAGAAAAAGAGGGUUGGAACACUAGGUGUUGCACAGUUCUCUUUUUUAUCAGAGAAAAAAUUGGGAUUGGACAUCUUGAAUAAGAUAUAGUCCUCUCCUAAUUGGAAAAUCAUUUCUUCCUUAGCUACAUUAAUUAUGGCUUUGCAUUAGCUAAGAAAGGUCUCCCAAGGAUGACACAGUCAUCCUCAUCCUCUCCAAUAUCCAAGACAAUGAAGUUUGCAGGGAUGUAGUGGCUUUUACCUUUAACUAAGACAUCCUCCGUUAAGCCAUAUGGCUUCUUCAUAGUCUUGUCUACCAUCUCUAAUGAGAUGUUUGCAGAUUUUACCUCAAUGAUGCCUAGUUUCUCCAUUACAGAGUGUAGCAUGAGGUUAAUGCUUGACCCUAGGUCACACAGAGCUUUUUCAAAGGUCAUGGUGCCUAUGGUGCAAGGAAUCAGAAAGCGUCCAGGAUCUGGAAGCUUCUGACGUAGCUCUUGCUGAACCAAAGCAUGGAGUUCUUUGGUAAGCAGUGGAGGUUCUUCCUCUAGAGGUUUUGUACCAAAUAACUUGGCAUUCAGCUUCACAAGAGCUCCUAAGUACCGAGCAACUUGCUCUUCCCUAGUGUCUUCAUCCUCAUCAGAGGAUGAGUAGUCAUCAGAACUCAUGUACUGCAGAAGUGCAUGCAAAGGAACCUCAAUGAUCUUUAUGGAUUUCUUUGGUUCUGGGCUAGAGGGUUCUUGAGUGGGAUUUAGGCACUCAAAGGGUGUGCUUUGACUGGCGUUCAAUGCCAGCUCUAUUAGCUUAUGGGGCAUUGAACGCCCUUGCUGUCCACCCUGACUGAUGCCAGUCCCUUUAGCAUUCUGGGCAUUGAACGCCCAACAGGGAUGUCCUAGCUGGCGUUCAACGCCAGCUUCCCUGGGUUAGUGGGCGUUGAACGCCCAGUGAGGGGUUCUUCAUUGGCGUUUAGUGCCAGAAUGGCUGCAUGGUUAGGAGUUGAACGCCCAGUGAGGGGUUCCUCACUAGCGUUCAACGCCAGAAAGCCUACCUGGUUGGGCGUUGAAUGCCCAGUGAGGGGUUCCUCACUAGCGUUCAACGCCCAGCCAGUGCUCCCUGGCUGGCGUUCAACGCCAGCUCUGCUGCCAGGAUGGGUGUUGAACACCUAGUGAGGGGUUCCUCACUGGCGUUCAGCACCAGGCAUGGUGCCAUUGUGGGCGUUGAAUGCCCAGUAAAGGCUUCUUCACUGGUGUUCAACACCUUCCCAUUCUCCUCUGAUUCGGCCAUGUCUUCCAUGGUUAUGGCCUUGCACUCUUCUCUAGGAUUAACCUCAGUAUUAUUGGAAAGAGUUUCAGGAGGAAUCUCAGGGAUCCUCUUGCUUAGUUGACCAACUUGCACCUCCAAGUUUCUAAUGGAGGACCUUGUUUCAUUAAUGAAACUAUGAGUGGUCUUAGAGAGGCUGAAAACCAGAGUCACUAAGUCAGAGGGGCUCUGCUUAAAGGUCUGCAUAUUCCCUUGAGAAGAUGGGAAUGGUGGUCUGUUAUUGAACCUAUUCUGGUUCCUACCACCUUGAUUAUUGUUGAAACCUUACUGAGGUUUCUGUUGAUCCUUCCAUGAGAGGUUAGGAUGGUUCCUCUAUGAAGGAUUGUAGGUAUUUUCAUAGGGUUCUCCCAUGUAAUUCACCUCCUCCAUGGUGGGUUGAUCAGGAUCAUAAGCUUCUUCUUCAAGAGAAGCUUCCUGAGCACUACCAGCUGCAGUUUGCAUCCCAGUCAGAUGCUGGGAAAUCAUAUUGACUUGCUGAGUCAAUAUCUUAUUCUGAGCCAAGAUGGCUUUCAGAGUUUCAACUUCAUGAACUCCUUUCUUCUGAGAGAUUCCAUGGUUAACAGGGUUUCUUUCAGAAGUGUACAUGAACUGGUUGUUGGCAACCAUCUCAAUGAAUUCUCUUACUUCUGCAGGUGUUUUCUUCAAGUGGAGGGAUCCACCUGCAGAGCUAUCAAAUGAAAUCUUGGAUAUCUCAGACAGGCCAUCAUAGAACACGCCUAUGAUAGACCAUUCUGAGAGCAUGUCAGGAGGACAUCUCCUGAUCAAUUGCUUGUAUCUUUUUCAAGCUUCAUAGAGGGAUUCACCUUCUCUUUGUUUGAAGGUUUGAACUUCCACUCUAAUUUUAUUCAUCCUUUGAGGAGGAAAGAAUUUAGCUAGAAAAGCAUUAACUGAAAUAAAAAAUAGAAUAUUUACAAAUGAACAUUGAUGCACUACAAGAUUUAUACUUAUUUAUGGGAUUUUUUUUGUGGAAGUUUUAAAAAACCUCCACAACUUAUUUUAUUUAUGGCAAAAUAUAAAACCCCCAUUAAUUAAUACUAAUUGUCUAGUUUAAAUUCUUAAGCCCAAUUACCCAAACAAAUAGCCAGACUCAGCCAGACUCUAACCUACUCUAAUUAAACUGAAACAAAUUUCACUCUAAACAAAAAUUUGUCCAAAAAAAAGUUAAAAGAGAAAAAAGAGGGAUCUUAAACCCUAUAUCUAUUUGCUGCCACCACCACAUUCAUCUCUUCGCCCAUUGUCGCCGUCAAGUCGCCGUGGCGUCUAAGAUCAGAGGGAGAGUCAGCUCACCGCUGUUGUCAUUCAUGUCCUCGUCGUUGCCGCAUCAAGCUUCUAGGUCAAUGUCCUCAUCUUUGAGGAGCUUUGAGAUCUUGUUUUUGUUAACAAGUGGUUUAGAUGUGGGAAUCCUUUCGAUGCCGUGGGAAGCGUUGAUGGUACACCAUUACUGAAUCAAUCGGCGAAGAGUGUGGUUUGGAGUUAGAUCGAAGAAAUCAGAAGAAGAGAGUUGUUGCUUCGUUACGGAGAAGGUCUUGUUCUUGCCGGAGAAAAGCCAUGUCUCGAUGCUCUCUCUGUCGUAAGUGAUGCCGGUGGAGACGGUUACGGGAUCCUUCAUGAUUUCAAGCGAGAUUGGGCAGAGAAAGAACGGAGGAACAUCGAUCUCAUUAUCCAUACUCUAAUGCUCUAUGGUUACAGGCUUACAUUAUUAUUAUUAUUAUUUACCUGGUUCAAGGAUCUUGUUGCCACAGUGGGCAAACUAUCAUUCUUGUGCAAUGAUGGUACUAUAACAAAUUUGCUUAUGAUAUCAAUUAAUUUAGCCUGAAAUAUACUUUGUUUUACAAGUCAAUAUCAUUGCGUUUGUAAUCUUAAUGGUGUUUUAUUGAUGUAUUAGGUUUCUUAUAUGCUUUAUUUAGUUCAUCCACCACUUGUUCUGUUCUAAUAAUCUUUGACUAACAGAGAUCCUGACCUUGCCCAAAAGAUUGGAGCUGCAACCGCUCUCGAAGUCAGAGCGACGAGGAAUCCUUAUGUCUUUUCUCCAUGUAUUUCAAGAGUCUAAUGAUAAAUUUGUGUAGGAAAAAUUCUUGUUAGGCGUAAUAUGUUCACAUUUCUUCCUUUGAUAACUUAACUAAUUACUUCUGGAACACUAUUUAUAGGUUUGUAGAGAUCCAAGAUGGGGUCGGUGUUAUGAGAGCUACAGUGAGGAUCCUAAAAUUGUGGUACAUAUUUGAUAUUUCCUAAAAUUUUGUCCUUGCCUGGUGGUGAAUUAUGGUCAAUAGUUACAUAAUUUUCAUGUUUAACGCUUAUGCAUCACUAAUGUUGUAAUGUAAUAAUUAACUAAUGAGUUUCAAGUUUAAGAAAUUAAUGUGGUGGAUGGAAGUGGCUACAAUUGUUGGUACUCUAGUAGCGUUUCUAAUAGUGCCUAUGCGAUCUCUCAGCUCUGAUAACUGGAAAAUAACUGCUGCUCUCAUGGGUAGUUAUAUUGGUGGAUGUAAGUGCUCAAACAAUUUGCCUCUAAAUUUAAAUGCAUGGAGGUAUUGAGUCUCUAAUCAAGCUGGUAUUGCUUAUCAUGGAGGUAUUGAGUCUCUAAUUGAUCUUUUUGGCUCACAGAAUGCGUCUAUCUAGCACCAUGCAGCUUUUGCUCUAUAUAGCCUUGUGGAUAAUGAGGUGAAAUUGGGUUUAUUAUUCUUAACUUUGUCAAAAUUUUAUGUUACUAUAUUGUUCUUUAUGAACUUAUCAAAUAUAAAUUGUGUGAUAGGACAUUAUUGGCAGACCUUAUUAAGGCUGGUGGUUUUCACAAACUUUAGGAUGGAAGUUUCAAAGCUCAAGUAUGUCCUUCUUUCCUUUACUCCGUAGUAUCAUAUAUUGACUUGUAUUUAAUUUACUGGUAUUGUUCUUUGAUGAUAAUAAAAUUGUUUAUGUUCAUAAGUAUAACUUCUAUAGUUCUAUCUCUAUAAUUUCAUAAGUAGAACUAUCUUCAUUGACAACAAUGGUACAAUAAGCUUUUAUCUGCUCAUUUUAAUAAUUUUUUCACCUAGUAGUGCUUUGAAGUAUUUCCAAUCAACUUGCAGCUAUAUCUUGCAGGAUUAGAAUUGCUGUUGGAGCUUCUUGGAUCUAAAAGUACAAACCUUAAACUAAUUGAUCUACAGGAAAAAGAUUCUAUACUCAUCGAGUUUGUUUAGUCAAGUCAGAUGUAUUUCGAGCAAAGUUUGAUGGUGGUUACAAGGUAGGCCUUGAGAUUUGCAAUGCAGAAAAGGGAAGCCAAAGAUAUAGUGGUUCUAGAUAUCAAAUGGUUUGUAUGGUUCACUGAACAAGAGCAUAGAAAUAAUUAUAAUUAACUAUUAGUAAUUGGCAUUAAUAAAAAAAGCUAGUGUGUAUAUAUGUUAAUCAUUAGUUAAUUACCUCUCUUGCCACUGCAGACCAUUAGAACUAUGUCUGUACAUAGAUAUAUGAGGUAGCACUUUAGUCAUCAUGAGGUAUUUGCUUUGGUACUAUUAAGCUUCUUAAUCCUGUGCUAUAUAAACACCGUUGAUGAAUUUGCCUCAUAAAAAAUUUGUGAAUGCUAAGAGAACAAAGAAAACUUAUUAACCAGGUUGGUUCUUAUUAACUACUUAUUACUUGCCUUAUAAAUCCAUUUGUAGGAAGCUUCAUGAAAAUUGAAAAGUAAUUGCGUUUAUGGUGAAACAGAAGAAAACAAUGAGUUCAGAAGAUUGCCUUGGUUGGGCUACAAGAGAUGCAUCUGGACAUCUCUCACCAUACAAAUUCAAUCGCAGGUAAUUAAUCAACUUUCUUUAUAGCAUAUAAACAUAUAUUAAUCGCUAAUAUCACUUGGACAAGGAAUAAACUUGGUGACUACAAGUACCCUGUUGUGCCAGGGUACGUAUGUUGCCUUUAAUAAUUUUUCUCUAAUUCUCAGAAACUUGCAAACUGAAUUAAGAUAAUGUAUGUAUCUGUAAUCUGCUUUUUUUUUGUUAGACAUGAGAUUGCAGGCAUUGUGAGCAAUGUUGGUUCCAAUGUCAAACGCUUCAAUGUGGGUGAUCAUGUUGGAGUGGGGACUUAUGUCAACUCAUGCCGCAACUGCGAGUAUUGCGAUGAUGGACUAGAACAUCAGUGCAGUAAGGGAGCAGUUUUUACCUUUAAUGGGAUUGAUUUUGAUGGUACAAUCACAAAGGGAGGAUACUCCAAUUUCAUAGUAGUCCAUAAAAGGUAAUUGGCUACUAUAGUUUAUAUAUUUUGAGUUAAAAAGGUUAGAGUAAACUGAAUUUGAUGUUACAUUUUUUUGUUGUAUAUGUGUAGGUAUUAUUUCAAGAUACCAAAAAGUUAUCCAUUGGCUUCAGCAGCACCUUUGUUGUGUUCCGGAAUCACUGUUUAUUCGCCAAUGAUUCGUUACAAGAUGAAUGAGCAGCCGGAAAAAUCUCUAGGAGUGAUUGGCCUUGGUGGAUUUGGUCAGAUGGCUGUUAAAUUUGGAAAGGCUUUUGGUCUGAAUGUAACAGUUUUCAGCACCAGCAUAUCAAAGAAUGAUGAGGCCCUCAAUUUACUUGGUGCAGAUAACUUUGUGAUUUCAUCUGAUCGAAAACCAAAUGAAAGUAAGCAUAGCAAAUUAAAAAAGCAUCCUCUGUUUCUUAUUUAUUUCUUUUGUCAAAAUUGAAUGUUUACAAAUAUUGCUACAUGCAGGGAUUAACAAAGACAUUAGACUUUAUAAUUGACACAAUAACUAGUGAUCAUCCUUAUGAUCCUUACAUGGCACUUCUGAAAACAUUUGGUAUCUUAGUCACAGUUGGGGUUGGUGAGAUUUUUAUGUAAUUAGAAUUUAGAUGAUAUUGAAAUAUUGAAGUUGUUUUAUUUUACUUUUUAAAGAAAAAUAGUAAUAGUUAUGUAGAAUAAUACCAUAUACAAUUAUGUUUUAUACAAUUAUGGUUGGAACUAUUGACGUUGAGAAUUUUUUUAUAUUUAGAAUUGUCUUAUAUUGAGGAAUUUUAUUAUAAAGAUUUAGUUUUUUAAUUUUGAUAGUAAAAAAUAAAUUUUUAAUUAAGAAUAUAUAAAUGAGAUGAGAUUAAUGAAUGAUUUGAAAUUAAAAAGAAAUAACUACAAGAUUUGUGGAGGUUUGAAAAUCUCACAAAAUAGUUAAUUUGUGUUAAAAUGAAAAGUCAAUUUGUGGAGGUUUUAAACUGCCACAAAAGUUAUUUAAAACUGUCACAAAAGUUCAAUAUAAAACUCCCACUGAAUAGAUUGUGGAGGUUUUUAAAAAUCCCCACAAAAGACCUCGUGGCACUUUCCCACAAACCAUGUGGUAGAGGUUAUAAACCUCCACAAAUAAAAAAAACUGCCACAAAUAAACAAAAACCUUGUAGUGAGCAUCAGGUUGUAGACUUCAGGAUUAACUCCAUCAGUCUUUAUAGUAUCAGAGAUCUGUAAGAACUCAGCUAAAAACUGAUGUGGAUUUUUCAUUGGAAGUCCAUGGAAUUUACAGUUCUGUUGCAGAAGAGAGACUAACUGAGGGUUAAGGUCAAAAUUAUUAGCUCUAAUGGCAGGUAUAGAGAUGCUUCUGUCAUAAAAGUCAGAGGUAGGCAUGGUGAAGUCACCAAGGACCUUUAUUGGCUCCUCUUGAGGUUCGGCCAUGUCCUCUGUUUCUUGUUCAAAAUAUUUUGAAAUGUCUCUUCCAGAGUAUUGUGCUCUAGCUUGUUGUAAAUGCUUCCUUAGAGUCUUCUCAGGUUCAGGAUCAGGAGUCAAGAGGAGUUCUUUAUUCCUGUUUCUGGUCAUAAACAAGAAAGAAAAAAAAAGAAAAGAAGAAAGCUCUUUGUGCCAAUUGGUAAGAAGCUCCUCUUUAAAGUCAGAUGUGAAGAAAGAAGAGGGAAAAUAGAAUAAAAGAAAUAAAAGAAGUAGAAGAAGGAUACUUUGAAAAUAGGGGAUAGAAGUAAUUAAGAGAUAGAAGAUGAGAAGGAAGAAUAGAGAGAGGGAAGAAGAAUGAUAUGAGUAGAGACGAGAAGAGAAGUAUAAAUAGAAAAAGUAAAUAAGAAUUAAAAUAUUUUUGAUUUUAUUUUAUUUAUUUAUUAUUUUCAAAAAUAAGUUAAUUAAUUUUAAAAAAUUUAAAAUUUAAAUGUUAAAUUUUCGAAAAUAGAAGAGAGAAGAGGAAGAAGUUUUCGAAAAUUAAGAAGAGGUUAGAGUUAGUUAGGAAGUUUUGAAAAAGAGGAGAGAGAAGAAGGAGGUAGUUUUCAAAAAUUAAGAAGAAAUGAGAGUUAGUUUGGUAGUUUUGAAAAAGAAGAGAGAGAAGAUAAGAUAUUAAUUAAGAAAAGAUUUGAAUUUUAAAAUAAGAUAGAAGAUAAGAUAAGAAAAGAUUUGAAAUUGAAAUUUGAAAUUAGAAAAAGAUAAGAUAAGAAAUUUAAUUUUGAAAAAGAUUUGAUUUUUAAAAUUUGAAAUUUGAAAAAGAUAAGAUAAGAGUUUUAAUUUUUGAAAUUUGAAAUUUGAAAUUUGAAUUUUUAAAACUUGAAAAUUGAAAAAGAUAAGAUUUUUGAAAAAGAUAUGAUUUUUAUUUUUGAAAAGAUUUGAUAUUUGAAAUUUUGAAAACUAAGAUAUGAUAAGAUAAAAAUUUGAAAUUGAAAUAUGAAUUUUUAUUUAAAAAAUUCAAAAAUUAUGUUAAAAAUUAAGUUAGAAAAGAUAUUUUUUUACUUUUGAAUUUAAUGAUGAAAGAGAAAAACACACAAAAGAUACAAGACUUAAAAUUUUUAGAUCUAGUACCCCUAAUUUUCGAAAAUUUUGGAGGAAAACACAAGGGGACACCAAACUUAAAAAUUUUAAGAUCAAACACAAAAGAGACUCAAGAACACUUUGAAGACUAACAAGAACACAAAGAACAAAAUUCAAAGACUCAAAGAACACAAGAACAUAAAAAGAACACCAAACUUAAAAUUUUUAGAAAAUCACAAAGAAAUUUUCGAAAAACAAAAAGAAAAACACAAGAAAACACCAAACUUAAAGAUUUGAAACAAGAGUUAACCAAAGAAACUAUUUUUAAAAAUUUUUUUGAAAGAAAAACUCAAAGAACACGAAAAUUCACCAAAAACAAAAACAAAAAGACUCAAACUUAAUUACUUAAGAACAAAGAUUAAAUAAGGAAAAUAAAAAUAUUUUUGAAAAAUUUUUUUAUUUUUUUUUGAAAAUUGAAGAAGAAAAUAAAAGACUUAAUAAAAAACACAAAGAAAGACUUAAACAAAGAAAAGACAAAUAUUUCUUGAAAAAGGUUUAGGAAGAAGUUUUAAAAUUUUUGGAAUUGAAAAACAGAAAACAAGAACAUGCAAGACUCAAUACCAAGAACAAAAAUUGAACAAAGAAAAGAAAAAUAAUUUUUGAAAAAGAUUUUUAAUUUUUCGAAAUUUUGAGAAAGAAGAAAAUAAAAAUAAAAGACUCAAUAAAAUAAAAUAAAUUACUUGAUCUAGGGAGUAAGACAAUCUGUCAGUUUGUCCAAACUCAACAAUCCCCGGCAAUGGCGCCAAAACUUGGUGCAUACGAAUCCCCACACUUCCUUACAGCAGUACCAGCAAGUGCAUUGGGUUGUCCAAGUAAUACCUGAGCGAGUCAAGGUCGAUCCCAUGAGGAUUGUGGCUUGAAGUAAGCUAUGGUUAUCUUGCAGGUCUUAGUCAGGCAGAUCAGAAGGUUGUUGGAUUGAUGCAAGGGCAACUCGUGAAAGGAAUAUAUUGUAUAUAUUAAAAUCAAUAAUAGGGAUAGAGUUGAGGAUUAGAGUUGCUUUGUCUUUCUGAAUUAACUCUGGUAUUACUGCUCUCUUUGCUUGUGAGUGAUUUCUUCAAUGGCAGGCUGUAUGUGAUUGACACUGGUUUGAGCAGCUGCCAAUACUCCUCCAUAUCUGAACCCUAGGUUUAGUGCGGAUCCAUUCUGAUUGAGGAUGAAGCUCGUAUAGUUCAUUCUCCUUAAUGAUCCUACUCAAAACGCCAUAAAUAAGGUCAGAUCUUCCGGAUCAGAGAAUGCUGCACCUUGGGUUCUAGCCUUUACCACAGAGACCCUAAUCUCUCCGAAAAUUGGCUAAACUGAUGUCUCAAAAAGUCCCCAACGAAGUCGUGUAUUAGCCGUCUGAGAGAUUUAUAAACAUAGCUGUUGGUUCGUCCUUGUCCGUUGAAAGACGCAUUCUGAACCCAAGUAGACGUGGGUGUUUGUCAGGCACGUUCGUCUUAAUGUGAUGAACAGAGCUAAUUUGUUAGAUCAUCCUAUUCACCACGAUGAAGAUCGGAUAUACAUCUUAGAAUUAAUCAAACACAGAUCGAAGAGAAAAUAGUAAUACUUUUAUUAAUUCAUAGGACUCAGCAGGGAUCCUCCCCUCAACCUAGGAGAUUUAGAAACUCAUACUGAAAGUAAAAUACAAUUAAAAUGUGUAUGCUGAAUGAGAUAUGAAAAGUGUCUCCAAAAAAAGGUGUGAAUUACAUAAACAUAAUCCCUUAAAUACUAAAUGACUAGUAAGGGUAAAACAGUCUUUUUAGUGCUAAAAUUCACUUCUGGGGCCCAUUUGGUGAGUGUUUGAGCUGACCUUUGAUGAGAUCCACGUGCUAUGAGGUCUCUUGGGCAUGGAAUGCCAGCUAUGGGGUUCUCUUUGGGCAACCAUUUCUUCCACACCCAUAUUCCUACUUGGUUCUAACCUUUCAACCCUUUUAAGCAUGUUACACAAUGCAUGAAACGCACAUCUAUCCAUUCUUGUAUUUUCUAUACAUGCUAGAUCACUAAAAUAAAUAAUUCUAUCGAUACUAACAUCCCUUAUUACUUGCCUACUGUAACUAUCAUUCCAUUUUCUUUUCUUUUUUUUUUUUCAAUUGCAAUCUAAUCAAAACAUAGCAAAUAAUCAACAACUUAACUAUAAGGUCAUUCAUUAAUUCAAAAUGUAAAAUCAAACAGGCAAUAACUCUUAUCUUUUGUUUGGGAUCCAUUCUGUCAAAAAAAAAAUAUUUUAGCUAGAAGACUUUACUAUUUAGCUAUAAAAACAUUAAAACAUGUAUAUAUCCAUGCACCAAUUAACAACAUUCAAAUAGAUAGAGAUAUAUAUAGCAUCACCACCUAAUGGCUCGAGUGAGAAUUAAUAAUACAUAGACUUAUAUAAUUGCAUUCAUUCAGUUCAAUUAUUAUGUUUUAUUAGAUCACCUCCGAUCCGAUUCUGGGCUAUGCAAGGAAAACAGAGAUACUGCCAAAUAGAUGAAGGAUGAAUCAUAAUAUUAGUCAAACAGCAUAGAAAUUUAACACAAGGGUUUAAAGCAAAUAAAGAAAGCUUACUUACUUCUUCACAGGUAAAUCCACUACACCUGAAAUACAGUAAGUAGCAACAGUAAAUAGAUAAGUAUUCUUUCACAGCCUUGAAUUGUCAAAUUUAUGCUCCAAUAUUACAAACCCUUCAUUUUAAUUAUUGCAACGAACAAUAAAUAAGAGACUAAUAACUUUUACUCUUGUCUCUCUUUCUCUCUAAAAUGUAUUUUGAUAUCUCUAUAUAAAACCUUUCAUAUCUUGUGAGUUGUGGGACAACAACAUACAAAUUUGGAACUAGGUACCCAAUGGAAGGAAGCGCAAGCACAGCAGAGGAAAGCGUNNNNNNNNNNNNNNNNNNNNNNNNNNNNNNNNNNNNNNNNNNNNNNNNNNNNNNNNNNNNNNNNNNNNNNNNNNNNNNNNNNNNNNNNNNNNNNNNNNNNNNNNNNNNNNNNNNNNNNNNNNNNNNNNNNNNNNNNNAAGAAGUGAAUUGAUUAGGAUUUUAUAUGAUUUUUGGUUUUUACUUUGUAGUAAAAUUUGAUUUUUUUAGAGUGAAUUACAUGUUAUUUUUAUUAUUUUCUAGGCUUUUUUGCAACUUAACUAGUAGUUGACUGGUAUCCUAGUUGAUUACCUAACAAAAUUGUUAAAAAAUAUUAGCAUUGUUUUUCAAGCUACAUUAUUCUUGUCUUGUCCAACAAAAGCUUAAAUAACAACACCAAAACAUAAUCAUAUUAUUCUGUUUUGCGGUAACCAGAGUGCAUUAGAUAUCGUUGCUAACCCGAUUUUUCAUAAAUGGAUCAAACAUCUGAAGGUUGAUUGUCAUUUUGUGAUGGUGAUUGAUGAUUAAGAUGUCAAUGAAGUGAUUGUAAUGUAUAUGAAUAAAAAUGGUAAUAAUUAUGAUCGGUAUUUUAAUGGGUAAAAAUUUUACAAGAUUUUUUUGGGUAUUUUUUAAAGUGGUUCAUAAUGGUAUUAAUGUGUGUUAUUGAGUGGGUAAAAAAGCUGCAGGUUAAAUAAGCUGAGGUUUAUAUUUUUUAUUUUUUUAAUAUAAAAAAUAUAAAAAUUCUAAAAAAUGAAAAUAAACAAAACAAACACAUUUUUAAAAUUUAAAAAUAAAAAAACGAAAACAAAUUUUAAAACUUGAAAAUGGAAAAUAAAAAUUAAAGAUAUUUUCUUAUACCAUACCUUAAAUAUAAUUUUUGGUUCUUGUCUAUUUGUUUUUUACAAAAUAACCUUCUAUAAUUUAAAAAUCUCUAAUUGUUCCCAACCAUUCAAGUAAUUGGUCUAAUCGGUGUUCAACCAUUUAAGUAAUGGUGUAAGUGAUUCCAGUAAAUGAUGAUAUAUAGAUGUGUCAAAAAUCAUUUACACUAAUUACUUGAAUGGUUGGAGAUCGAGUAGAAAUUUUUUAAUUGCGAAGGACUAUUUUGUCUUUCGGAUAAAUGGUCAAGGAUCAGAAACAAUAUUUAGUCAUAAAUAAAUACCCAAAUUAGUCCACAAAGAAUUUUACAUUGAAAACUACUUUGAUUCCUAAUAAAUUUAUAUCCUCUAUAAGUCCGCGAGAGUUAUCUUUAUUGGACAAAUUGGUCCCUCUGUUCUAUUGUUUUUAAGAGAGACUGAUUUGUCUUAUAGUGAUAUGUUUUAGGACCUAAUUGUUUUAUAACCAAAAUUUUUAGCGAUUUAUUUGUCUAAUACGUAUGUUAAAAAUUUGAUUAAAAGCGACCAAAGAACCAAUUUGUUCGACAGGAAUCAUUUUUAAAAAUUUUUUAUAGAAUAAAAAUUUAUAGUAGGUUAAAGUAUCCAAUAUAAAAUUUCUUGGGAAUUAAUUUAAGAGAAGUUGACAUUAAAUAUCCACACUUAUGGAUAUUAUGUGGACAUUGUAGUUGAUGAACAUGUUUGGAGUUGCCUAUGUUUACAGGUUCAGUUGAUGGGACAGCAUAUCAGACAAUACCAGUGCUUUUACAGAUCUACUGUACAAUGUUUGGGAAAUUAAUAAGACUAAUGAGAUGCUAAUUAUUUUUGGCAAGUUAAGACUAAUAAGCAAGUUGUAUUAUUUUUUUUGUCUACGUGGCUGUGACUGAUUUUUGGGCCUAGAUCAUCAUAUUUGGUGCAGCUGUGAAGAAACAACUUUCUUUGUGGAUAAAAACAAGUCAAAAGUAGCAUUAAAAAGAAAAUAAACUGAUAUGUUUUUGGAUUUAUUUAGGGUAAUUGGAUUUUUUUUUUAUUUUUUAGGGAAUGUGACUAUGUUUCUCUGAUUUUUUUUGUCAUGGUGUUGUCGUAAAAUGGAAGAGAUUUUAUAUUGUUAAAUAGAUAAAGAAAACAAGAGGAUGCGGUGCAUGAUUUUGAUAUUUGACCAAAAAAUAAAUAAAUAAAUAAAUAUGUGAUGUAUGUUAAUAAUAAUAAUGUAUAAUGUAUAUCUAGUAUUGCUACAGUCAAAUUAAUAAUCCAUAAAACUAUUUAUGAAUUAUUAAUUUGACUGUAGCAAUACUAGAUAUACAUUAUACAUUAUUAUUAUCAACAUUAUUAAGAGAGUAAAAGCUUUAUAUUCUUCUUGCUUUCUAUGUUCACUGGGUCUCUACCUUUAUCUUGAAUUAUAUGUAUAUUGAAUUCGGUGUUCAUGUUAUAAACACCAAAAAAAUAUACCAAGUAGUUUGACUCACGUUAAAUUGAAAAAUCCUCACUUAUAAUUCAUUUCCAAACAACAAAAUGGUCAAGAAAACUUAGUUGUCCCCUGAAAACAUGAAUUAAAUAUACUGCAUUCAAAUUUUGUAGAAGAAAUUUCGUGAUAAUUCAAUUUUGUUUUGUCACAUCCGUGGUUAAAGCUUAUUUGCAAAUUUUUUAAACUCUAAAAUCACCACGACUCAAAUUCAGAAUAAACCUGAAAAAAUGAUAAUACAAUAGAAAGAUCACUAGCACAGCCUUCGAAAGUCAAGAUUACCUAAUAUUCGUGUCAUGAAAAUUUCAUUAAAAUACAAGGAAAUCAAUUAGAGAAACUCUUAAAAUAAUUUCUAGUGUUACCUGUUUCCAUUGGAAUAAGGCGGAUGAAGAAUAUUGAUCACUGAAAUUGGUAUUUCAAGAACAGAAUCAGUAAGUAAAAGGUGAGAGAAGUGGGAAAAAUCACCCGGGAGUGGCAAAAACACAUCAUUUAAAGAGCUUAUUAAGAAAUAAGAAGUGACAUUGUUGAUGAUGAUAUGAUGAAGAUCAAAUAAUCAUUCAAUAACCCAACAAUUACACCACAGAGCAACAAACAUUACAAGAACAUUUGAACAAAAAUUUUAGAAAUUAAAAGGAAGAAGAAAAACCGAGCAUUCAACAACCAGAUCAAAAUUAAAAGGAAGAAGCGGAGGCAAAGAACUGAAAGCAAGGACACUAACCUUCGACGGAGACACGACGGCAACCGGCGAAACGACGGUGAGAGCAGAGACGACGGCAAGCGGUGACCCGACGACGAGCUGCUCCAAGCCACGGACAAAGAAGCCAGCGAGGAUGGGGACGACGUGCCGAGAUACCUGGGUUCCGGACAGGGGAAAGAGGAAGAAGCAGAAGCGCUGAGGACCUGGGGACGGCGGCAGCAAAGAACCUACGGCUAGGGUUUUGCCGUUUUGGUUUGGGUCUGAGGGCACGAAUGAUUAGGGGAGAUUGAAUGAAAUUAAGAGCAACUUGAGAAGAUGAAGAAAAGAACAAUUUUGAUUUUUUAUUUUUUUGAUAUAUUUUUAUUUUGUUGUUUAAAUUAUUUGAAACCAUGAAAGUAGGAUUAAUUGAAUUUCAAAAUUUAAUUAAUUUAAAGGGGUAUUUUUGUCUAAUCAAAUAAAGUAAAGAUGUUUAAGACUUUUUAUAAAAUUAAAUAAAAAAUAUUUUUUUUAUUUUUAUUUAAUUAAAGGGGUAUAUUAGUAAAAGUGGUGAUAUAAUAUAUAUUUUAAAAAAAAUAAAUACUGAUGUGAAAAAUAAAUUCCACGUGACUUAUUAUUACUUGUCCAUAUUUUAAAUGUAUCGGUACGUAUGAAUUUAUUAUCGUACCGUAGCAAACACAUGUACUAUUGUCUAUUUUUUUUAGGCAUUUAUACGUAUCGAUAUAAUAAAAAUGUAGACAAAUAAUAAAAUGACACGUAGAUUAUAUUAUCCAUGUCAGUAUUUAAUUUUUUUUUAAAAAUAUAUACAAUAUCAAUACUUUUACUAAAAUAUCCUUAUAUUUUAGUAAAAAUAAAAAAAUAUAUUUUUAUUUAAUUUUAUAAAAAGAUAUAAAUAUUUUUUUUUUAUUAUUAGACCAAACUAUCCAUUUAAAUUAAUCAAAGUUUAAAAUUCAACUAAUUUUAAUUUUAAAUUUUAAACAAUUUAAAAAAUAAAACAAAAACACAUUUAAUUAUUCAUACACACAAAAACAAUUGCUUCAAUCUUAUUAAUGUUCCCGUAAACCCUAAUCUCUCAUAAUCAUUUAUACAAAAUAAAAAUCUAAAAAACUAAAAAAAUUUAAAGAACUUUUUCAUCUUCUGGUAUUCUCACCAACCGUUCACCCUCUCAAGGAAUGUCUUUCGCUCUCAAUUCUAAGACUCAAACUCUCUUCUUUUUCACUGCCAGUAGCCCACUAUAGUCUCACUCGACUCUCGUCUCCUUCACACUCGCCAGCGUCUCGUCGUUUGUCUCGUCUCGUCGCUGGCGUUUCAACGUCUCCCGGCCUUCCUAGGGAUCCUUGUCGCCAAUGACAAAAGCAACUCGUCGAGUAAUACUCUUGUACUUUGUAGUUUGGAGUUGAAAAAAAAGGAGUCUAAGUACUUUGGAGUUGAUAAAUUUUUCCAUCAAUCUUUGACUUUGUACUUGCGGUAAUACUCUUGUAGAUUGAAAAGAUCUUUGGCCCUGAAAUAUUUCACAGUUGCAAAAACGAUACUUCAAGUAAGCAUUAAAGAAACCAUUAAAUCUCUGAAUCUGCAUCUGCUAUUGUGUUUCAUACUUUCAAUCAUGGAGCUUUUUUCUUCUCUCGUUUAAUUUCAAAAUCUUCUACAAAAUACUGAAGCCAUGGUUUCAAUUGACAUGUUAGCUGGUCCAUCUGAAGUUUUAGUCAUUGCAGAUAAGCAUGCAAUUCCUUCUCAUGUUGCUGCUGAUUUGCUUUCCCAGGUUCAAUGAGUUUUUAAUAUGCUCUUAUUUCCAGAUCUCUUACGCUUUCUUUCUACAUUACUCAUAUCCUAUGCAUAUAAUUUAUGAUUUCUAAGCUGAUAGCCAGGUUGUUCUUGUAACAGCUGACCACAUAACUUUUAGCUUUUGUUUCUUUCCCUUUCUCUAAACAUUUUAGUUCAUGAUGAACCUUAUUUUCAAAUCCUGGAUCACAAUUCAGAAAUUAUAGGUGUAACUAAUGACUCUGAUUUGCCUCUGUAGAUUCCGUGUUUUUAGGGGCCAUGGAUGCCUGAGAAUGUUGGUGAUUAUGCAAGCGGGAGUGCGGGACAAACCAUGUCCUUUCUUUAGUAAAAAUAAAAAAAUUUAUUUUUAUUUAAUUUUAUAAAAAGAUAUAAAUAUUUUUUUUUUAUUAUUAGACCAAACUAUCCAUUUAAAUUAAUCAAAGUUUAAAAUUCAACUAAUUUUAAUUUUAAAUUUUAAACAAUUUAAAAAAUAAAACAAAAACACAUUUAAUUAUUCAUACACACAAAAACAAUUGCUUCAAUCUUAUUAAUGUUCCCGUAAACCCUAAUCUCUCAUAAUCAUUUAUACAAAAUAAAAAUCUAAAAAACUAAAAAAAUUUAAAGAACUUUUUCAUCUUCUGGUAUUCUCACCAACCGUUCACCCUCUCAAGGAAUGUCUUUCGCUCUCAAUUCUAAGACUCAAACUCUCUUCUUUUUCACUGCCAGUAGCCCACUAUAGUCUCACUCGACUCUCGUCUCCUUCACACUCGCCAGCGUCUCGUCGUUUGUCUCGUCUCGUCGCUGGCGUUUCAACGUCUCCCGGCCUUCCUAGGGAUCCUUGUCGCCAAUGACAAAAGCAACUCGUCGAGUAAUACUCUUGUACUUUGUAGUUUGGAGUUGAAAAAAAAGGAGUCUAAGUACUUUGGAGUUGAUAAAUUUUUCCAUCAAUCUUUGACUUUGUACUUGCGGUAAUACUCUUGUAGAUUGAAAAGAUCUUUGGCCCUGAAAUAUUUCACAGUUGCAAAAACGAUACUUCAAGUAAGCAUUAAAGAAACCAUUAAAUCUCUGAAUCUGCAUCUGCUAUUGUGUUUCAUACUUUCAAUCAUGGAGCUUUUUUCUUCUCUCGUUUAAUUUCAAAAUCUUCUACAAAAUACUGAAGCCAUGGUUUCAAUUGACAUGUUAGCUGGUCCAUCUGAAGUUUUAGUCAUUGCAGAUAAGCAUGCAAUUCCUUCUCAUGUUGCUGCUGAUUUGCUUUUCCAGAUUCAAUGAGUUUUUAAUAUGCUCUUAUUUUCAGAUCUCUUGCGCUUUCUUUCUACAUUACUCAUAUCAUAUGCACAUAAUUUAUGAUUUCCAAGCUGAGCAUGGACCUGAUAGUCAAGUUGUUCUUGUAACAGCUGACCACAUAAUUUUUAGUUUUUGUUUCUUUCCCUUUCUCUAAACAUUUUAGUUCAUGAUGAACCUUAUUUUCAAAUCCUGGAUCACAAUUCAGAAAUUAUAGGUGUAACUAAUGACUCUGAUUUGCCUCUGUAGAUUCCGUGUUUUUAGGGGCCAUGGAUGCCUGAGAAUGUUGGUGAUUAUGCAAGCGGGAGUGCGGGACAAACCAUGUCCUUUCGACUUAUGGAUAUGCUCGGAUGUAUGGUGGCGUGUCACUGGACUCCUUCCUUAAAUACAUAACAGUGCAGUCUCUCACAGAGAAAGGUUGUAGAGACUUGGACCAUAUGUGGCAACCAUGGCUGAAGUUGAAGGUCUUGAAGCUCACAAGAUAGCAGUUCCUGAUGAGCGGAUAAUUUAUACCCUUUUUGGCAUUGUUUUUACAUAGUCUUUAGUAUGUUUUAGUUACUUUUUAUUAUAUUUUUAUUAGUUUUCAUGAAAAAAUCACAUUUUUGGACUUUAUUAUGAGUUCGUGUGUUUUUCUGUAAUUUCAGGUAUUUUCUGGCUGAAAUUGAGGGACCUGAGCAAAAAUCUGAUUCAGAGGCUGAGAAAGGACUGCAGAUGCUGUUGGAUUCUGACCCUCCUGCACUCGAAGUAGAUUUUCUGGAGCUAAAGAAGCCCCAUUGGCGUGCUCUCAAUUGUGUUGGAAAGUAGACAUCUUGGGCUUUCCAGAAAUAUAUAAUAGUCUAUACUUUGUCCGAGAUUUGAUGGCCCAAACUAGCGUUCAAACGCCCACCUAAGACCCUUUUCUGGAGUAAAACACCAGAACUAGCACCAGAACUGGAGUUAAACGCCCAAACUGGCACCCAAGCUGGCAUUUAACUCCAAGAAUGGCCUAUGCACGUGAAAGCUUCAAUGCUCAGCCCAAUCACACAAUAAGUGGGCCCCGGAAGUGGAUUUUUGCACUAUCUGCACUUAGUUACUUAUUUUCUGUAAUCCCUAGUAACUAGUUUAGUAUAAAUAGCACUUUUUACUAUUGUAAUUACGAUAAUAUUUUUGGAUUGGGAGGCUGGCCAUUCGGCCAUGCCUAGACCUUUUUCUCUUAUGUAUUUUCUACGGUGGAGUUUCUACACCUCAUAGAUUAAGGUGCGGAGCUCUACUGUUCUUCAUGAAUUAAUGCAAGUACUAUUGUUUCUCUUUCAAUUCACGCUUACUUCUUCUCCAAGAUAUACUCUCGUACUUAAUUUAGUUAAGUCAGAAUGAAGGAGUGACCCGUGAUAAUCACCCACUAUCUUCGUUACUCGCUUAGCCAAGAUCCGCGUGCCUGACAACCACAAGCGGUCUACAUGAUGUUCAACGUAGUCAUUGGAUGACAGCCGGAGUAUAUUCUCUUGGGUCUCUAAUCCACGGACCGAGUCUAAGAGAUUAGAACCUUUGUGGUAUAGGCUAGAACUAAUUGGCAGCAUUCCUGAGAUUCGAAAAGUCUAAACCUUGUCUGUGGUAUUCCGAGUAGGAUCUAGGAAGGGAUGACUGUGACGAGCUUCAAACUCGCGAAUGUUGGACACAGUAACAGUGUGCAAAAGGAUAAAGAGAUCUUGUUCCGACGCUAGUGAGAACCGACAGAUGAUUAGCCGUGCGGUAGCUGUACCUAGUAUUUUUCAUCCGAGACGAGAAAUCUGACAGUUGAUUAGCCGUGCAGAAACCGUACUUGGUAUGUUUCAUUCGAGAGGAUCAUACAGCUUGCCAUGGAAAGGAGCACGCUUGGUUGGAAGAAGACAAUAGGAAAGCAGAGGUUCAGAAGCAAUAAAGUAUCUCCAAACGCUUAUCUGAAAUUCCCACCAAUAAAUUACAUAAGUAUCUUUAUUUUAUUUUAUAUUUUAUUUAUCUUUUAAUUAUCAAAACUCAUAACCAAUUGAAUCCACCUGACUAAUAUUUAUUAGAUGACCAUAGUUUGCUUCAAGCCGACAAUUUCCAUGGGAUCAAUCCUUACUCACGUAAAGUAUUAUUUGGACGACCCAGUGCACUUGCUGGUUAGUUGUGCGGAGUUGUGAAAAGUGUGAUCACAAUUCCGUGCACCAUUACCCUAAGACUUCAGGACAUAGAAACCAUAUGUACAUUGCAAUUUUUUUUUUUCACUCUUCAUUGAAAAUCAAUCUUCAACUAGUAGAAUGGUCCCAAUUUCCCAAAGAGUCAGGCUUGACUAUCUAUACAUUUUCAUCCUAAACAUUAAUAGUUUAGAAUGCGUGAACUCUAAAGAAGGAUUUUGUUAAUAAAUAUCCUGAAAAUUUUGAUUUUCAAUAUAAAAAGGGUGUUCUAAAUACGCUUAUUAAUCCAUAAAUAAAAUAUAAGUUGAUAUUAUGUUGUAUAUCUUAAAUUUAUAAGUAAUACAACACUUUGUGUAAUGAGAACAAACCCUUUCUUCAUAUCAGGCAGACAAAAGUAUAAGUAGUUGUGAGCUAUAUUCACCUCAACCAAUUCAUGCCAGAAGCUAGCUAGCUGGUUUAUGCAUGGCUGUCAAAGAUAAAUAAAAAAGUGAAAGGAAAAUUUGCAAAAAUUAUUACUAGUUUAUCUAGCAAAAAGAGCAAUGGAUCAUCACUAAUGUAUAAGACUCCACUUAAAAACUAAUAUUCACUUGAAAUAUAAUAUUUGGGGAUACGCAAUCUUUUGGCAAAAUAAUUUAGUAUAGUCAUAAAAUUAAACAUGAGAACAAAAACAUCUAUAUCAAGACUCGAUGAAUAUCUUAAUGGAAACCUAAUAAUUCAGGCCGUCUUUAGCAAAAGGUAACAAUAGCUUCAAUUAUGAAUAUUUCACAUCCAAGAUCCACCUUCUCAUUACUAUCAAUGUUAAAACAGUGGUCAACCUCAUUAUAAUUAUGAAUUAGUCAAAUAACCACAAAAAAGAUGGCAGUACUUGACAGUUAAAUUCAUCUUUUAAAAUGCUAAAUUACAAAUUCAAAUUUAAUCUUUAAGGAACACAAGUGACUAUAAAAGUGCUUUUAUACACAAAACAACACCCGAAGUCAGUGAAGCAAGUAUGAUCGAGGCUCCAUUCUUCGACAGUGAAAACUGAGUCCAUGUCAAGGGUUUUGACACUUCAACUAGAACCUUCUGAAAUUGUUCAUUCAAGUGAUCCAAUGUUAUCUGUCACCAUAUCUGCUUUAUUCCUCUUCAAAUCAAGUGUCAUUUGAGCAUUGAUCCUAUUCCUAGCAUUCUCCUCAUUUGAUUUGUCUCUCCCCAUGAGUCUCUUUUUCUGUGUUUCAGGAUCAAUCCACACAACUAUAAUCGGCUUUGUGAACUUGUCCAUCUUGGCCUCAAACAACAAGAGGACAUCUAUCAAGAACAAUAACCUUGUAUCCCUUUAGCCACAGCUUCACAACUUCUCAAAAGAUUCCAGAGGAUAUAUGGGGAGCCAAUAAUCUAAAACAUGAUCACAACCGAAAUUCAACACAAAUUCAACAAACUAAUCCCAAAAAUGAUGCAUUUUAGGAAUGAUUGAAUUGAAAAUACUAGCUAUGGGUUAAGAAUUAUAAAGUCUUCAACCUUAGCCUACUCUAACCUUAGACAGCGAAAUGACCAAAAAUCUAGAAUCAGGGCACGUAAAAUAAAUAAUACUAAAAGAAGUAGCUUUGAGCAAUCCACAUAUGCAAAAUUGUUAAGAAAUUUCAUGUAAAUUGAUAAUCCUACUUUAUUCAUGAUUUACAACAACAUUUAGAUCAGCAACUAGACAAAUUAAUUGAUUAGCAAUUUAACAUCAUCUCAAAAUACAGGGAGAAGGGAAAUCUGGAAAAGACAGAACAGAGAAAGCGAUGAUGCAGGGACUCACUAACAAUCCACUGCGACUAGGUGAAUGUGAGGAUCCAACACCAGAAGACGACGAGCGACGACCCCACGAUGGUCCACAAUCCUCGAUGACGGCGGGGACCCAAAAACAGAAGAUGACGAGCGCCGACGAGGAGCCCUGGGAAGGCCGGGAGACGUUUAAAUGCCGGCGACGAGACGAGACGCCGGCAAGUGUGAAGGAGACGAGAGUCGAGUGAGAAUCUAGAGUGAAAGACAUUCCUUGAGAAGGUGAACGGUUGGUGAGAAAAUCCAGAAGAUGAAGAAGUUUUUUAAUUUUUUUUUUAGUUUUUUAGAUUUUUAUUUUGUAUAAAUGACUAUGAGAGAUUAGGGUUUGUUGAGAGCAUUAAUAAGAUUCAAACAAUUGUUUUUAGUGGGAAUAAUUAAAUGUAUUUUUGUUUUAUUUUUUAAAUUGUUUUAAAUUUAAAAUUAUAAGAUUAAAAUUAGUUGAAUUUUAAAUUUUGAUUAAUUUAAAUAGAUAGUUUGGUCUAAUAUAAAAAAAGAUAUUUAUGUUUUUUUAUAAAAUUAAAUAAAAAUAUAUUUUUAUUUUUAUUAAAUUAUAAGGGUAUUUUAGUAAAAGUAUUGAUAUUGUAUAUAUUUUAAAAAAAAAAUUAAAUACUGACGUGAAUAAUAUAAUUCACGUGUCAUUUUGUUAUUUAUCUAUAAUUUUAUUAUAUCGAUACGUAUAAAUUUAUCAUUAUAUCAAAACAAAUACUAUUUUUUAUAAGGAUUUUCUUUGGUUUAUAAAUAUCAUUUAAUUAUUACUUCUCAGUUUGAUUUAAUGGAAAAAAUAUUUAUUUUAUUGCACAAUCUCCCUUUUUUUUUGUUUCAAAUGGGGAGGUUUUCUUUUUAUAUGGGAGUCACUCAGAUAAAAACGUUUAAAACGUCUUUUUUUAAAGAUGUUUUUUAGUAAUUAAAAUUUAAUAUAUAUAAUCAAUUAAAUCAUGUUAUUUUUGUCAAAAUUAGACCAAACAAAUUAAUUUGACAAAAAAAUAGUGAAUCAAAUCUUGAACCGAACUAAAUUAAUAUUAUUUUUUAUAAAAAAUUAUUACAAUAUCCUUAUUAUAAAAAAUAACUAAAAUACUCCUUAUUAUAAAAAAUAAUCAUUUUCUAUAAUAAGGAUAUUAUAGUCAUUGCCAAUGAGUUAUAGCUCAAAUGACAUAGUCUUCCAUACUCAAUUAAGAGGUUGCGGGUUCGAGUCUCCUAUCUUUGGUAAUAAAAAAAAGGAUAUUAUAGUCAUUUUUUAUAAAAAAAAAUAAUAUUAAUUUAGAUUAAUUCAAGAUUUGAUUCAUUAUUUUUCGAUCAAAUUAAUUUGUUUGACCUAAUUUUAACAAAAAUAACACAAUUUAAUUAAUUAUAUGUAUUAAAUUUUAAUUAUUAAAAACAUCUUAUAAAAAAGACGCUUUUGACGUCUUUAUCUGAGUGACUCCCUCUUUACAUUUAUGAACUGUGAUCACAUAUUUUUUUCAAAUAUGAUAUCUUCCCGGAUUUUUUUGUACAGUAAAUAUAUUGAUUUUGGAUUAAGUACGAUUUUGGUUCUUAAGGUAGGGGCUAAAAAUUUUUUUCGUUCUCGACCUUUUUUUGCUACAAAAUGAUUCUAAAGAUUUUUUCGCUACAAAAUUUUUUUCGUUCUCGACCUUUUAAUUUAAAAUUAAUAUUAAUUUUAUUUUGGCAUACAUACUCAUUAAUUAACUUUAAGCAGUUUUAAACGCUCAUUCAAUUAAGUAACAAUACAUCAACAAAAAUAAUUACUUUUUAUCAUAAUUGAUUAUUAGUGUAUUAAAAUUAAACUCAAAAAUUAAAUACUAAAUUUUUAAGUAAUAUAAAAUUAUUUAGUAUUAUAUACUUUUUUGAAAAAACAAAUACUUCUUGUACCCUUAGAAGCUUUAAUAAUAAACAAUUUAUAGUAGCCUUUAACUCAUACGAUAAUGUAUAGCCAAAUUUUUUUUUUCAAACAACAAAAGUAAACUAAAAUAUUGAAUGACCACACAAGUUAUCCGAUAAAAUAUAUUUUCUCGAUCAAAUUUGCUACAUAGAUCAUUUUCUAUUAGCAAUAGAUAUGGACUUAAUUAUAAUUAGUUUAUUAUUUUAGUAUAUGUCAAUUAGAAUAAAAAUUAGUUUAAUUUAUUAGUUAUUUAAUGUAUUCCUUUACAAUUAAUUGUAGUCAUGUAUUAAAUAACUGACANNNNNNNNNNNNNNNNNNNNNNNNNNNNNNNNNNNCUAAUUAAUUAUAAUUGAAUCUAUAUUUAUUAUUAAUAAAAAAAUUUAGAUAACAACUAUUGAUAAGUCCAUAAGAAUUUACUAAUAUUUUUUUAAUAGAAAAUACAUAAAUUGUUCAUUGACGAAUUACAUGUUAUUAACAUAUCUAUAGAGAGAGGAGAUGAGGAGGAAUUAUUGACUCCAAGAGUGAUCAAUAGCAACUACAUUCAGUAGAAUGAUGGGUGAAGAUUAGGAAUAUAUUUAUUUUUAAAGUCACCGUCAAUAAAUUUUUUCACGUAUAUAUAUUUAUAAUUUACUAACGAUAAUAAUAUAAUAAAAGAAUACGAAAUAAUAUAUAUGAAAUAGUAGAAAUAACAAUAAUUUUAAGAAAAAACUGCUUCUAUGAUAGUAGAAAUAAUGAUAACUGCAUGGAUUGAUUUGGGCUGCUCUAAUAAAAAAAAUAAUUGGACCUUUUAAAAUUAAAAAAAUAGAUUUUUAAAAAUAAAUAAAUAAAUAUUUUAUAAAAUAGCUACUGUUGUAAGUGAGAGUAAUUGCACAUAGUUUAUAGAGUAUGACUUUUUCAAAAUUUUGGUAUCUAAAUUACAUCCAUUAGUUAUCCUGCGAGUAAAUACCCAUAGUCAUCCCUGAGAUUCACGCAAAUACCCAUAAUAAUCCCUAAGAUCUCGAUUUUCCUAUUGUAGUCUUUUAGAUAGAGCUUCGAGCACUCAAACUGGUCCCUGGCCAUAUUUCAGGUGAUGACUCAUCACCGGAGCGCUGACGUGGACUCGAAUUGCCACGUGGGAGGAGUCCAAAACGUCGUCGUUUUGGGUUUGGCGCCCUAGAAAGCCAAAAACGACGCCGUACACAAAUACUUCACUUCACUCGUCUCUUCUUCUUCCACCAUCUGACUUCUUCUUCAUCUCCCCAUCAAUGGCGUAGCCAUAGGGUUGUAUUCGCUGGGUUUAGGAAAAUUUGAGAGAAGAAGUAAUCUGACCAGAAGUUGUUAUCGUUCUUCCCCUCCUUCACCAUAAGCACAAGGUUCUGACUUUGUGAUCGGACUCAAGGUAACCUUCCUUUUUUUUUACUUUACAUUUUUAAUACAGUGUUGGUUGAUGAUAUGCAAGUUGUUAGUAUAGUUGAGGUUCUGGAGUUUUGGUGCCAUUGUAGUGCCUAGGGUUUGAAGACUGGCUGGGGUUUGUGGGGUUACUCUAUUUAACCCGAAUGAAAUAGGGAUGAAACAGGAGUUCUAUGCAGGAUUGGAAAAAAUGUUUUGUUUUCUUGUGGUGAUUUUUUUAAUGCAUUAGUAGGCUUUCAAAUUCUGCCCGUAUUAUGUGAAAAUUUAAAAUUUCUUGCAGAUGGAAGGGAAGUUGGACAUCAUGUUUCAUCAUGGGGUGAUUUCAAAAAAAAUGAAGAAAGGAUUAUGGUAUAUCCUCCGACAACAAAGCUUGUUUAGGUGAUCUAGACCCAUCGGCAUAACACUGAAAAGAAACUAAAAUCAUAAUCCAAUCCCCAAGAGAUUUCAGUGCAGGGAGGCACUUAAAGGUGCAAGCAUUCUGUUGCAGCCAAGGGCACUAAAGAGUAGCACAAAAUGCACGUUAUCUCAGGAUUUUGCUCCUUCAUUUUACCAAAACCUCUAUGCACACUCAAUGAAAACUGCUUUAGGUUCACCUAGUGCUUUUCAAAUACACCAUAAAGUUGUUCCAUAGAGAAGUAUAUGUCUUGUCAUGCAGGCAAUUGCCACUGUGAUUUCUGGUGGAUCUGGCUGCAUUCUUGUAUGCCAGCUUAACUGAAUUGUAGUUUUAUGUUUUAUUUUUAUUUUUUGGUGGAAAGUGCUAAGAGGAUGACAUUUUUGCCACACAUGCAGAUAGCCUUGUUUGUCUCUUCCUUUGAUGUUGUGAGGUCAGGUUGGCUUCUAAAUUUUUUGAAAGACAUUAGUGCUACUCGUAUAAAAAAAAUGCAACAAAAUCUUUCCAAGGUUUGUGUUCUGGGUUAUGUACAGUCUUUUGCUGCUGAAACCUUGCAAAAAAUUUCUAAUGAAACCAAUGCCAAUGGCAAGUUUAAGCAUAAUUUAUGCCCUGUGCAAUAUAACCACUAAUCACCCUACAUAUUUGUUAUUUUUCUAAAAUUGAUAUUUAGUUCAUUGUCUAGCUUUCCUAUUUGGCAUUAAUUGCUUUUAUUUUGUUUUCCAGUACUCAAGGCAUUUCUUGUAUUCUAGUCCAGCUCAACCAUUAGGUCCUGAAGACUUGGUUUGGAGAAUGGUUUGUACUUUCUGUUUUGUCAUUUUUCGAUAUGCUUGACCUUUAGUAUUCUUAGACUGCUUUUUUUUAGGAAUUGAAUGGCAUUUUUCUCCUUUAACUAUGGCAUUGUUCUGUUUAUGAUGAUGCUACAGAUGGCUGGGAAGGUGGUGAACAUCAAACUUCAUUCCCGAAUAUCACAACGUGUAGUUCAAGGGUCUAGAAAUGUUUGCACUUGUGAAUGUAGACCUGGCAACGUCACUAAUACCAUUCCAAUUGUCUCCUAAUUCAUUUUCUUUUCUCUUUACAUGUGUAACACCUAAGCUUUUGCUUAAUUUUUUUUUCGUGAUUUUUUUCUACAAUUUUUUAGGCUAUUUGUACUUACAACUUUUACUGCAAAAGAAGAAUUUUUAAUUGACUGAAACACUGAAACAAGAUGUAUUACGGCUAACUUUGGUUUGAACUAAAACAGCUUAUAAAGAUUGUAAUUGCCCAUCAUCAACCAAGUUCAUCGUGGUGGAAACAUUAGUGGUAAAGAUUUGAACAGAGCUUCCACCUGCAGCGCUACCACCACCCAUCAUCGGCAUGAGUAGCGGCCCAAACGAAAGAGUAUGAACAGCAAGUAGUAUAUGAAAAAGAAGAAGAAGAGAUGAAGACGAAGAAGAGAUGAACGGUAUGAAAAUUUGGGAAUUUAGGGUUACAUAUAAUACUAGGGACCAACAUGGGUACAAAUUAGAAAUUAGCCAGCUCAGCUAGCCAUUGGACCCCUCCAGUGUGGCAAUCCGAGGCCACGUCAGCGCUCCGAUGAUGAGUCAUCACCUGAAAUAUGACCAGGGACCAGUUUGAGUGCUCGGAGCUCUAUCUGGAGGAAUACAAUGGAAAAAUCAGGAUCUUAGGGAUUAUUAUAGGUAUUUGCGUGAAUCUCAGGGACAACUAUAAGUAUUUACUCGUUAUCCUGCAUAAAGAAACCACACCCACGGUGAAGGACAACUCAUAUUCUCUAUUUUAUUUUCACUUGUAUUUCAGUAACAGUUAUAAAAAAAAAUCAUGUUUAACCUCUUCUUUAAUUCUUUAUUCUAUUAGUUUACCUUUUAAUUUGUUUUUUUUUUCAAUUUUUUAUUCUAUUUCUAAUUCAGGAUACACUUUUCUGUAUGAAACAAUUAUUAUUAGAAUAAAAAAAUAGUUAUUAUAACAGAAAUAAAAAGAUAGUAAAUAAAGUAAAAAAAAAUAGUUAUUAUGAUAGAAGUUAAAGUUGUCUAUCAUAUAAUGGGACUAUUUCAAUUCAAUCAUGUCGAAAAGAAUAAAAGAAAAUCCGAAUAUAAAUGUAUUAGAUAUUAAAUAAAAUAAAAUUACAUAAAUUUUUAUUUUUUACCGUAUAAAUAUUGUCCGAGCUAAAAAAUGAAGAAAUAAAAUUAAUAUUUUUUCUAAGAAUAAUUAUUUUUACAAUUAUAAAUACACAAUAAAAAAUUAGUGUACAUUAAAAUAGUACCAUAAUAAAAGAUAAAAUUAACAAACUAAUGGAAUAUAUAUACACAACUAACUAAUGUUAUCAUCAUUCAGUAUAUUAUUUAUGUAACCCCCUAACUAUCAAAAUGUCACGUUUCCAAUUGCGCCACUCUUGAUAGAUCGGGUGGUACGACGACUUUUAAAACAUUUAAUACUAAAAUAUGAGUCUGUUUAAAAUUUAAAACCGAAUAUUCAAAACUUCUAUCCAUACGUUACAGUACUGAUUACAAUACUUACAAAUAAUACAUAAAUAUAUAUACAUCAUACCAAUAUACAAACUUCACAUAUCAAAACAACUAUCCCUCUUGCAAAAAUUGCUAGAAAUAAAGGCGAGGAAAAAAUAAAAACUAAGAUAAUACAAAAUAACAUCGAAUAAACAGAAAAUGAAUAUAAUUCUUUUGAAGCUCUGUCGCCCAUAUCCUGAAAAGGGAAAAAUCUGUAGGAAAGUGAGAACAUCGUCCUCGAAAGGGUUCUCAUUAUAGGGUUACAGAAUUGCUAUAAUAAGAUACGAGAAUAAAACCGGUUUUAAAGUACAGUGAUUAAUAACCGCCUUAUGCUUCUUUUCACAACCAAAGAUUUAAUAUUCAAAAUCCGAAAUCCUUUCUAAAAGGGAAAGCUGUUAAUUUCUCAGAAAUCUAAAAGCUUUUUUAAAAGUUUUUCCUAGACAGCAUGAAUGACCAAACUGUUCCAAGCAUAGGUUCAUUAAGUCUAUGCUGAACCAGUUUAGUUUUUCAUACUUUUCUAAACCUAAAGCACAAACCAAACACAGCUUUCAGUCCAUCUCAUAAUCAACCACGGCCCUAGGCCCAAGCAACUCAAUCAACAACCAAUUCAUCACAAUCCAACCAAUUUUCAGUCACAAACACAAUUAAGAAGGUUCAAACACAAUCAAGCAGUUAUAUCAAGUAGAACAAUUAGCAAUUAAACAUAACUAUUCACAUAGGCAAACCAAUUACAAUAUGCACACCCGAUGCAUGCCUGUCCUACUGGCCAUGAACUCACGCGUCGGUUAUGUUGCCAGACCCGACUCGGAUAAGCGGGAUUAAACCACCAUCCUUAUCCGUAGGUUCCACAAGCAAGUGGGACUAAACCAUCAUCCUUGCCCGGAACACGCAAGGGGGAUUAAAUCACCGUCCUUGCCAAAUAAUUUAUCAAUGUAUGAGCGGGACAAAACCACCAUCCUCACUGCAGGCGGGACAAAACCACCAUCCCUGUAUAACGGUUUACGCACUAAGCAAGCAGGACUAUACCACCAUCCUUGCCAGGCCAGAAACCCUCAUCAUAUUCUCAGUAACACCCACAGUCAAUCAGACUCAAAAUCUUAUUUCAAAAUUCAUUCUUGGCCCACUUUCAAAUCACAAACGUAUUCAGUUCACAUCUUGCCAAGAACCACUUUUCUUAAGUAAAUUUUCUUUUCAAAACUUUCAAACAACUUCAUAACCAAGCCAAAUUCAAAAUCUCUUCUAAAAGACUCAAAUCACUCAUUUUCAAAUCAUUCGCUCCACCACUUUGAAAUCAAAAGUUAUUAAUUAACAACCUUGGCAAAGACUCAAGAUUUUAGAGAAGAAUAACCUGCCUCAUUUCUUAAAUUCCUUAGAAAUCCUCGGAAUCAUAGUUACUUAAGUUGAAAUCAAUUAAAAUGAAGCUUUAAAAUCAAAAUCAAAGCAUGUAAGUCAAAAGUUCCGAACCAGUUUCAAAACCAAAAUUAUUUAAGCCCAAAGACCAAUUUCUUUUCGUUCUUAAAUCGGAAACUUUCCCAAAGGCUCGGAUUUGUUUAGUUAAAAUUUAAAGAAUACUUCAAAAGCAAUGCGAAAUUAAGUAAUCAAAGUUCAAUUUCCUUCAAAAUCCGCUAAAACUCCUCCAAAGGUACUUCUUUGUCCAAACUUUAAAACAUAAGUCCCUCAUGUUUAAAUCAAACUUAAAACAUAAACUUUCCUUAAAAGAUUAAACUUGAAUCACCUAUUUCUUAAUAAAUCAAGAACCAAACAAUAGAACCUCUUGAAUCCAAUCCUUUUCUAAAUCGUAUUUUAAAAAAAAUCUGGAAUUUCAUAAAAAAAUUGGCAGCAUCUCUCCUAAAACUUGGACUUUGCCACCCGUUUCGGGUCCCAACCAAACCAUUACGCAACCCCCUCCACGGGUUCAAAACCAAAUUAAUUUAAAAUCAGACUAAUUUCGAAAAUUCAUAUCCUUUUCAUAAUUCAAGAAAUCAGAUCCAAACUCAAUUCAUUUUCAAUGAACCAAACUCGUUUCCGAAAUUGUAAGGAAAUAUUUCAGCAACCAACCAUAUAACCAAAUCAAACCACAAUCCAAUCAAACCACAAACACGUUCAUUCCAAAAUAGCUCAGCAAAACAUAAGGCUUAUACAACCACUAAAAGUACAUUUAUCACAUUAAUAUCCAUUUAUAACAACUCCAAAUCAUAAAAUUAAGUUCUUUGAAAAAGCCCCUACCUCACUAAACGUAGCUUCUCCGUUAGUAGUUUCCAGCACCUGUUUCCAUGGCAGCAACAGUGACGAGGUUAAACGGCCUCCUCUCCUUUCCGAUUUGGGAUUCCAGUAGCAGCAGCAAUCUCCAAACAGAGCCAGCAAUUACCUCCGGUAACGGCAUCGGCAACGUAACUUACUAUAACCACUUUAUUCAAUACGAAUAGUUUCAGCAACAAGUUUCAAGAUAGAAACGAAUUGGUAGAACAAGGAAGAAUCAGAAACAAGGUAAGGCUUACCAAAACAGUAGCGGUUCUAACGGUUCAAAACGGAGCCAGAGCAACAGCAACAGCAACUCCAGCAGCGGCAGUGGAGUUCUUGUCAGAUUUUAGAAACCAGAAGCAGAACUGGCUAGCCUCUCUUCCUCACCAGCAACGGCGGCUCCGACUAAACCAGCGACGGGGGCUCCGACCACACCAGCGACGAUGGUGGCGGCGACGCAUGAAACUCCUCCAGCAGCGGCAACGUGGGGAUUGACGACGACAAACCUUAGUAGCAGCGGCGGCAGAAGUGGCUUCGACAGCAGCACCAAGGCGCGGCAACGGCGCGGUGGCGACGCAGUAGAGGCUCCCUCCUCCACUGACUCUCGGGCGGCUCUUACUUCUUCCCUGAGCGGCGUCGACGAACAGAGGUGGCGGCUCCUUGGACGACAGCUGCGGCGCGACCCUCUCCCUAUCUUGUCUGUGCGACAUGACGGCACGGCGGCAGUGACGCCCGCUGGCGCCGCCCUCACUCUCCCCUCCCCUUCCUCCGCGGAUCCCUCUCUUCUCUUCCCUUUCUAUUUCGGCUGAAGCUGCAUGUGUUGGUGUGUGUAUGUGUUGUUUCUUUUUCUUUGUUUACUGGUGGGGGGAAAGGCGGCUUAGGGUUUCAUUAGGGAUAGGGGGAAAAUGUGGUUUAAUUAGGGUUAGGGUUUGUGUAUGGA